rnacentral:rRNA from 1 species
GUUUACCAAAAACAUGGCUUCUUGUAAACUAAUAAAUAAGGAGUCGGACCUGCCCAGUGAAUUUUUUUAACGGCCGCGGUACUCUGACCGUGCAAAGGUAGCAUAAUCAUUUGCCUUAUAAUUGGAGGCUAGUAUGAAUGGUUUGACAAGAAUAUAGCUGUCUCUUUAUAACUUUAUAGAAUUUUAUUUUAAAGUGAAGAAGCUUUAAUAUAAUUAAAAGACAAGAAGACCCUAUCGAGCUUUAAAAGAAUCUUUAGAAAUUAGUUAAUAAAUGAUCUUUAAAAAAUUAGCCAUUGAAUAUUUUGGUUGGGGCGACUAAGGAACAAAUAAAGCUUCCUUUAAAUAAUUAAUAACAUUCGUGUAUUGAUCCAGAAUUUUUGAUUAAAGAAUAUAGUUACCGUAGGGAUAACAGCAUUAUCUUUUUUGAGAGUUCUUAUCGAAAAAAAGGUUUGUGACCUCGAUGUUGGACCAGAAUAUCCUAAAGAUGCAGAAGUCUUUAAGGGUUGGUCUGUUCGACCAUUAAAAUUCUACGUGAUCUGAGUUCAGACCGG